ACGGGUGAGUAACACGUGAGUAACCUGCCCUUGACUCUGGGAUAAGCCUGGGAAACUGGGUCUAAUACCGGAUACGACCAUUCCACGCAUGUGGUGGUGGUGGAAAGCUUUUGUGGUUUUGGAUGGACUCGCGGCCUAUCAGCUUGUUGGUGGGGUAAUGGCCUACCAAGGCGACUACGGGUAGCCGGCCUGAGAGGGUGACCGGCCACACUGGGACUGAGACACGGCCCAGACUCCUACGGGAGGCAGCAGUGGGGAAUAUUGCACAAUGGGCGCAAGCCUGAUGCAGCGAGCCCCGUGAGGGAUGACGGCCUUCGGGUUGUAAACCUCUUUCAGUAGGGAAGAAGCGAAAGUGACGGUACCUGCAGAAGAAGCGCCGGCUAACUACGUGCCAGCAGCCGCGGUAAUACGUAGGGCGCAAGCGUUAUCCGGAAUUAUUGGGCGUAAAGAGCUCGUAGGCGGUUUGUCGCGUCUGCUGUGAAAGACCGUGGCUCAACUCCGGUUCUGCAGUGGGUACGGGCAGACUAGAGUGCAGUAGGGGAGACUGGAAUUCCUGGUGUAGCGGUGAAAUGCGCAGA
rnacentral:rRNA from 1 species